CAGCCCGCGGUAAUACGAAGGGGGCUAGCGCUGUUCGGAUUUACUGGGCGUAAAGGGAGCGUAGGCGGAUUUUUAAGUCAGGGGUGAAAUCCCAAGGCUCAACCUUGGAACUGCCUUUGAUACUGGAGAUCUUGAGUCCGGGAGAGGUGAGUGGAACUGCGAGUGUAGAGGUGAAAUUCGUAGAUAUUCGCAAGAACACCAGUGGCGAAGGCGGCUCACUGGCCCGGAACUGACGCUGAGGCUCGACAGCGUGGGGAGCGAACAGGAUUAGAUACCCCGGUAGUCCCUGUCUCUUAUACAC
rnacentral:rRNA from 1 species